rnacentral:rRNA from 1 species
CCCUUAGAUGUUCUGGGCUGCACGCGCGCUACACUGAUGCGUUCAACGAGUUAUUAUUUCCUUGCCCGACAGGGUUGGGUAAUCUUUUGAAAACGCAUCGUGAUGGGGAUAGAUUAUUGUAAUUAUUAAUCUUCAACGAGGAAUUCCUAGUAAGUGCGAAUCAUCAGUUCGCGCUGAUUACGUCCCUGCCCUUUGUACACACCGCCCGUCGCUCCUACCGAUGAGUGGUCCGGUGAAUAAUUCGGACUGGACUUUUACGCGGUUCUCCGUGUGCUUGUCCGGGAAGUCUAGUGAACCUUAUCACUUAGAGGAAGGAGAAGUCGUANCA